AUUGAACGCUGGCGGCAGGCCUAACACAUGCAAGUCGAGCGAGUGGCGGACGGGUGCGUAAUGUCUGGGAAACUGCCCGAUGGAGGGGGAUAACUACUGGAAACGGUAGCUAAUACCGCAUACCAUCGGAUGUGCCCAGAUGGGAUUAGCUUUUAGGUGAGGUAAGGGCUCACCUAGGCGACGAUCCCUAGCUGGUCUGAGAGGAUGACCAGCCACACUGGAACUGAGACACGGUCCAGAGUCCUACGGGAGGCAGAAGGGGGGAAUAUUGCACAAUGGGCGCAAGCCUGAUACAGCCAUGCCGCGUGUAUGAAGAAGGCCUUCGGGUUGUAAAGUACUUUCAGCGGGGAGGCGUUACCCGCAGAAGAAGCACCGGCUAACUCCGUGCCAGCAGCCGCGGUAAUAC
rnacentral:rRNA from 1 species